GCGGAAAUAGCUCAGUGGUAGAGCACCACCUUGCCAAGGUGGGGGUCGCGGGUUCGCACCCCGUUUACCGAUU
rnacentral:tRNA from 1 species